rnacentral:miRNA from 1 species
UUUUGAUUGUAGCUCAGAAAGC